rnacentral:tRNA from 1 species
GCCUUCGUGGUGUAGUGGUCAGCACGCUUGGCGCGUAUUCGAGAGGUCCGUGGUUCGAAUCCCAGCGAGAGCA